UCAUUUUCUUAGUACUCUUACAAUAAUCCCUCCCCACACAUGUUCGUCACACUUGACGGCUUUCUUUAAAGAUUA
ensembl:ncRNA C39D10.15 ncRNA